GGUGCUGUGGCUUAGUUGGUUGAAGUGCUUGCCUCGUAAUUAGGAGAUCCUGGUUUCAAAUCUCCAGCAGUGUCU